ACAGACCAAGUCUUUCCUGCAGCGAUGCCUGCCUCAGACUCCAUCUGGGAUCUAUUAUUUCCUGGAGCUAGGAAUCCUGGGGAAUAGAUGCUGUUCCCUAUAGACCUGCCUACAGAGAUACCAUGUUACAUCAGAAGGGGCCUGUCCAUUGGAGCAGCUUCCCUUCUCCCACACAGCUGCAGAGGGAACUAGUGUACCUAGAUCCAAGAGCAUCAUGGGGCAGACAGGAAUCUGGCUUCACCUGAGAUCAAGAUCCUCAAAGACUAAGGGAACACCCACCUCAUGUUGUCGCCAGAGAUGGUGUGGAGCUGCUAGCAAACAGGAUAUGAUUUCUACGCUUCAGUGGACCCAGAUUCUGCCCCAGCCUUAUAAUCAUCUAAAAUGACAAAGGCUGAGUCUACAGCUACAAAAGGAGUCAUCUGAUCAAUAGUAGGGUACAGAGGAGCUUGAAGCUUCCUUUCUAUCCUCUCACCUCUGGGGAGAUUUAACAUUAUCCCCCUGGAGCCAUUUCCCCAUCUUCCCAGUGAGCAAAAAUUCAGUUUACUCUGUUUUGGUAAAAUUUAACAGUCAACACUACAUUUCUCAUCACCCCAGCAUCCAGAGUACCAACCAGGACACAGUUGGAACUCCUCAAAUAAGACUACUUUGGAUUGAGAUUCUGAAAAAGCUGACAGGUUCAGCUAUAAUUUUUGUCAUUUGUUCUUCCUCUUGUUCCUGACUGGAAGGAAGAAUUGAUUGAUGGAAAUUUAAGAACUGUUUUGUGACCAUGAGAAUGAAUGCCAUCUGCUGUAAAUGUACAAAGGCUCCCUUUGGCAGGUUUGAGCUGUGCCACACAGCCAUAAACCGCCUUCCUCCUGAAAAUUAGAAUUCCUGCUUGUUGCAGUUGCUGUUUAUGUUGGAGGAGGUGAAGAUUAGGGUAUAAUCUGUUAUUUGCAGAUAAGCACAACUAUAAACUACAGCCCUUUCCCUGCAAAGGCUUCCUUACCUUCAACUUGGGCUCUAUGCUCACUAAAGAGCUCGCCACUCUAUACUGUAAGAGCCAAUCAUCCAUACGCAUUCCCACCCGGCUGUAGGCUGAGUCUACAGCAACUACACAUCCUGUGAGAGUUCUGUUGCAUCCUCAAAGGUAGCACUCUUUCUGGUAAUUCUGGCUUCUCUCACUGAUUUCCUUGAAACCACAAAUAAAAAACUUUGCACUCUGA